CCUACGGGAGGCAGCAGUGGGGGAUAUUGCACAAUGGGGGGAACCCUGAUGCAGCGACGCCGCGUGGGUGAAGAAGCGCCUCGGCGCGUAAAGCCCUGUCAGCAGGGAAGACAAUGACGGUACCUGAAGAAGAAGCCCCGGCUAACUACGUGCCAGCAGCCGCGGUAAUACGUAGGGGGCAAGCGUUAUCCGGAUUUACUGGGUGUAAGGGGGGCGCAGACGGCGAUGCAAGCCAGGAGUGAAAGCCCGGGGCCCAACCCCGGGACUGCUCUUGGAACUGCGUGGCUGGAGUGCAGGAGGGGCAGGCGGAAGUCCUGGUGUAGCGGGGAAAUGCGUAGAUAUCAGGAGGAACACCGGUGGCGAAGGCGGCCUGCUGGACUGCAACUGACGUUGAGGCCCGAAAGCGUGGGGAGCAAACAGGAUUAGAUACCCGUGUAGUC
rnacentral:rRNA from 1 species